rnacentral:rRNA from 1 species
GACGAACCGUGCGAACGUUGUUCGGAAUUACUGGGCGUAAAGCGCACGUAGGCGGCUUUGUAAGUUAGAGGUGAAAGCCCGGGGCUCAACUCCGGAACUGCCUUUAAGACUGCAUCGCUUGAAUCCAGGAGAGGUGAGUGGAAUUCCGAGUGUAGAGGUGAAAUUCGUAGAUAUUCGGAAGAACACCAGUGGCGAAGGCGGCUCACUGGACUGGUAUUGACGCUGAGGUGCGAAAGCGUGGGGAGCAAACAGG